GACGAACGCUGGCGGCGUGCUUAACACAUGCAAGUCGAACGAAGUGGCGAACGGGUGAGUAACGCGUAAUCAACCUGCCCUUCAGAUGGGGACAACAGUUGGAAACGACUGCUACGAACGCAUACGGAAGGAGGGGAUUGCGUCUGAUUAGCUAGUUGGAGGGGUAACGGCCCACCAAGGCGAUGAUCAGUAGCCGGUCUGAGAGAAGGGACGGAGAGAUUGGGACUGAGACACGGCCCAGACUCCUACGGUAGGCAGGAGGGGGGAAUCUUCCGCAAUGGACGAAAGUCUGACGGAGCAACGCCGCGUGAGUGAGGACGGCCUGCGGGUUGUAAAGCUCUGUUAAUCGGGACGCGGUACCGGAAUAGAAAGCCACGGCUAACUACGUGCCAGCAGCCGCGGUAAUAC
rnacentral:rRNA from 1 species